rnacentral:pre_miRNA from 1 species
AAUAAAUGAUGUUUUACUUUGUUCACAUCCAAUUUUUUUACUGUUCAUCUUAUUAUAACUUUUUUAUGAUUAGUAUUUUUUAUUAAAUGAUAAAAUAUAAGUAGUACUUUUAUGUGUGACUGAUUUUUUAAAAAAUUUUCAUAAAAUUUUUAAAUAAGUCAGGUUGGAUACGGAUAUCCACGGCUGCACUGAUU